rnacentral:lncRNA from 1 species
CAUUUUGAAAUAAAUAAUUCAAAAUAUCCUAUUUUUAAUCAUUCCUUUCUAUUCUCUUUGUUCACCGCAUCCAUCAAAAAUCGAGAAUUUAAUCUGUUAGUCUAUACUUGUAAAAGUUAAAUGUAAAAAAUCAACCGGAAGUCAACCGCCUAGUCACUCUUAAAAACUUCUUUACUUGUCUAAGUUUCCUGUUUUCUUACAUCAAUACAUAGAAUACUUGUUGAUGUGGGUCAAGAUGGAAAUUGGGGUUUUCUUGCUAUCGUAGCUUUACUUGCUAAAACAUGUCCGGUAUCAAAUUUGUGAUGAGGAUCACUAUGAUAUACAAAGUGACAUCAAUGUUAUUUACAACUCAUGAGAUUAUGUCUCUCAAAUCAAUAUAUGCACAACAAAAUGCAACCUAUCCUCUUUUUAUUCUUAUGAGUAUGGAUCCUCUCUACUGCAUCCAGUGUUCUAUGUGAAAGCAGUUGCUGCAAAAUCAAAUCUGACAGAUAAUUGUUGCUCGUCGUAGAUACUCCAGCAGUCAUCUCCUUUCUAUAUCCUGUAAAAAAAACCGAAGAGAAAUGGAAGUAAAUAAUAGUCAAAUUUGGAGUCAGUGGUGUUUUCUCCUUUCAUUUGUUCCUGAACAGAAAAACAGUUACAGGACAUGGUGGCAGGUUUUGAGGUGAAUUUGGCUUCUUGCAACAACAAGAUCGGGAAGAAGCAGGGGUGACACAAUAGAAUUUUAUGAUUAAAAUUAAUGAGUUAGUGCUAGUGCUAUAAUAUUGUAUUUUGAUGUUACUAUUGAAAUUCAUAAUAAUUGAUGAUAACAUAAUAUGAAAGAAACAACAAAAGCAGUAUUUAAAAGACUCACCCGGAAAAGACUCAUGUGAUCAAUUCGUCAUCAAUAAUUAUGGAGGGAAUGUGAGCAAUCUUACGCCACUCUUUCCCCCGCUUUUUCCGUAAACUUGCUUCCAGUAAUGGACAGCGAGUCACACUUAGUACUGAAAGAGAGGAAGGAAAUCCUUUCUUUGGCAACGACUUGAGUUUGGGAGCGUUAAUAAUCUCAAGGUUUUGGAGAGAAGUGAGGUGUUGAAGCCACUUCUCAUCCAUGCUUGUAUCAUUAAGACCACAAAUGCAUAGUGUCACAAGCGAUGUAGGUAGCAAUGGUCCCAUCAGCGUGUUCACUAUGUCAUUGCCGUUAAUUCGCAACUCCGAGAGACAAGUGAGGUGUUCCCAAGUUGGCUCAGUAUCCCAUAUAAUCCCACCAACAGAGCCAACAGAUAGUUUCUGUAAACGGCUAGGCAACUCAUCUAUGACAAAAGAUUGAAGAUUUGGUAGAUUAUCGAUUUCCAUUUCUUGAAGGCUAGCCAGACUGUUCAUUGCUUCUGGCAGUGAAUGAAGCUUCUCACACUUCCACAGUGCAAUAUAAAGGAGAUUUGGAGUUGCCAAUUCACCUGGGGAAAAUGACUCCAGUUUAUUACAAUCCCAUAUUUUGAUGCUUCUAAGAAAUGAGAGACUCUUUUCCGACUNNNNNNNNNNNNNNNNNNNNNNNNNNNNNNNNNNNNNNNNNNNNNNNNNNNNNNNNNNNNNNNNNNNNNNNNNNNNNNNNNNNNNNNNNNNNNNNNNNNNNNNNNNNNNNNNNNNNNNNNNNNNNNNNNNNNNNNNNNNNNNNNNNNNNNNNNNNNNNNNNNNNNNNNNNNNNNNNNNNNNNNNNNNNNNNNNGUUGAGCACUUCUCAUCCAUUGCUUGUAUCAUUAAGACCACAAUGCAUUAGUGUCUCACAAGCGAUGUAGGUAGCAAAUGGUCCCAUCAGCGUGUUCACUAUGUCAUUGCCGUUAAUUUCGCAACUCGAGAGACAAGUGAGUGUUCCCAAGUUGGCCUCCAGUAUGCCAUUAUAAUCCAGCAACAGAGCCAACAGAUGUCGUAAACGCUAAGGCAACUCAUCUAUGACAAGAUUGAAGAUUGCGUGAUAUAUCGAUUGUCCCAUUUAUCUUAGGCUAGCCAGCGUUCAUUGUUACCUUCUGGAGUGAAGUGAACUUCUCACCACUUCCACAGUGCAAAUAAUACGAAGGAGUAUUUGGAGUGUGCCCAACCACCUAGGGAAAUGACUCCAGUUUAUUACAAUCCAUAGUUUGAUGCUUCUAAGAAAUGAAGACUCUUUCCGACGUCGUCUUCUCAUUAAUAUUGAUUUCAGAUUUAUACAACCCUCAAUGAAUCAGAGGUCUUGAGACAGGGAGAGUGCCUAAGGUAAAUGAUAUCAUUUGAAUUACAACUAUAAGAUAUUUUCAAUUCCUCAAGCAAUGUAUAAUUUAUGCAAAUUAGGUCGUGAGGAAGAAUUCUAGAUUCUCACAAUUACUGAUUAUGAGAAGUUUCAAGUUUUGGCAAACCGAUCUGUUGGAAAAGACAUUGAAGGAUGGAAUGCCGUUCUAUGGUGAGCUGUUGAGAAUCAGAGGGACAUCAGUUGCCGAAAUACAUGAUCGAAUUGGCAUUGAUGAACCAGUAAAAGACAUUCACUUAACUCAAGUCAGUUUAAGGAAGGAAUUUUGUCAUUAUGUUUCCUACUAUCAGAUUUCGGGCACUUACUAAGGAUAAAGUUUUUAGACUAGGAAAGCGUUGUAGUCGUAACCUCCAAGUCAAGUCCCAUUCCUCCAUCUUGAUAUCUCAAAGGUUAGAUUCCAAAGGAGGGAAAUGGUUGAAAUGAAGACCACACUCUCCAUAGAACUCAAUACCAAUUGUCUCCACUGAUUGAUCCCUUCAAUAAUGAGUUCUUUCAGAUUACUCAAUGUCCAAGGGGUGGAAGCCAUAAACAAUCAUACAAUUCGAGAUCCUUAAAUACACCAUGUUGUAAAUGAAAAAUCACCUAACCAAUUUGGAAGUUGAUUCCACCAUCGCUUUGAUGGUGAGACUUUUCAAAUUGUUGAGGGUCGCCAACUUUUCAAGUACAACACUUUGACUUUGUGAAUGUAAAAAGUACUACCACAAUCCCAUUCCAAGACUAAUUCGUUAUUGUUCUUCAUCUUUAUGUUGGCUCGAUCUACUUCAAAGGGGUAUUAACAUUUGUAGAUGUGAGAUUGAAAGUUUUCUGUGUAGGUGGAGAAGUUUCCUAGCUUUGCAAUUUCAAUCCACUUUAUGUUUGCUGACAACAAAGUCAGACAAGUGUGGAGAUUUUUAGUUUGGCUAUUUGUCGGGGCAUGUCCCUCAAUGCGGUGUAUACUACGUCAAGGUGGCGCAGAUUGAUCACAGAGACAACAUGCGUAAUUGUUUCAUUGUUGGCAGCAAGUCAUGUACUACCUUGUUAGAUAGCAAACAAAGAGGCAAUUGUUCUUGUAAUGGGAAUGCUAGAAAGGUACGCAAACCAUUUAAUCCGUAUAAUUUAUCAAAUUUGCCAUAUGAAUCAUAUGUCUCUCUGUUGUAUGAAAAAUUCUGCAUCCUACCAUGUAGGUUAUGUUUGUGCAUAUUGAUACGGUAUGGAGAUGAAACCUCUGUAGCUAGAUCAUGGAUGAAGUUGUGCAUUCCAAAGUUUCCUUCCUCAUCACCAAUAGAUUGUCGAUGUAUCAAUGACCUUGACACUAGUUCAUCAAAGUAUUCUUCUCCAACUUUUUCUUGAUCUGUGGAAGAUGAUUCAAGUAAGCCUGCUGCAAUCCACAACUGAACUACCAUCUUUUUUUCUAAGACGGACUUCUUCGGAAAAAUUGAACAAUAUUGAAAACACCGUUUUAAAGGAAAAGAAAGGAAAUUGUAGCUCAAUUCGAGAGAAGCUAGCACCUCAUAAGUUGUUACCUGAAAGUGACUUUCUAGCACAUAAUUCCAAUCAUAUGGGUUUACUGAGAUGCGAAGAAGAGCCCCAUGUUCUACCGCGGCUAAUGGUAAUCCAUCACACUCUUUUGCAAUUUUUCUGACAAUUUCUUUUUUAAAUGUGCCAACUUCUUCUAGAUAGGAUCGUUGUUGGUAGUUAUGUGCUCCAAAUGCGUGUUCGGCAAGUAAAGACCAACAAUCUUCAACUUUCAAGGGUCUCAGAUAGUGGACAGAAAGAAAGGUUUGCACGCAUAGGCGCUCUUUAUCUCUUGUGGACGAUGCAUCUUACUCCCGAUUCCCACGCAUAAAGAUAUCCAUCAGUAAUGUCCAAUUGAUAGAUCUUGCAUCCCACACACCGUCCAAUACUAGCAAAAAAAUUGGGUAAAUGGUUGUUUGUGAAGUAGUAAUAGAUUCAAGAAUGGUUUCAAAAACACUGAAAUCAUCUACCUCAUUUGAGAAAUCGGCCCACAAUUUUAACUCAAAUUUGGCCUUAACUUGAGGAUCAUUGUAAAGGUGUUUGGCAAGAGCUGUUUUGCCAAUCCCUCCCAUACCUACCAUGGAAAUCACUCUUAUUUUACUUUCACUAUCACUAUCACUAGACAACAAAAGACGUUCAAGUUUUUUUAUAUCGGCCUCUCUUCCAUAUAUAGAAGAUUCAUCGUCACCUGAACUUAAGCCUUGUAAUAUUUGAAUUAGAUUUUCCGUUUUAGACUUGAUCAGUGCAAUUAAAAAACUUAAUCGAUAAUAAAUUUUGAGCUGAUUCGCAGUAAGUAUGGUAGCAUACCGUAAAAAAUCGCUUUCGUCAAGCAAAUUGGAAACUUGAAAAACAACACGUUUGAGCAAAUCCAGCGAUCUGUUGUUAGCUUGAGUGGGGAUGAGUUUCUUGUUAGCAUGAUAUAGUACAUCUUGAAGAUCCAGCAGUGUUUUCUGAAGCUUUUUCAUGAGUGAAAGGCUACUACUCAUGCUCAAGUAGUUGUCGAAGCGUAGAGCAGAAACAAUCCUUUCUAACAACACCUUCAUAGAAUUUGAGAGUUCUCCAUGAAUGGCCUCCGUUAGUUACUUUGUUUGUAAGAAGAAGAAUAUGCAAGUUUUUUUUUAUAAGCUGAAGUCUUUUCUUUCACGGGUGGG